GGUAUUAGGCUUAGCUAUCAUUCUUCCCAAAGCUGAGCAAAUUGGACAUGAAUCUAAGGGGUUAGGUUGAUACAUCCAAAGUAAUCAAGUUUGUGCCAGACAGUGAUCGCAUUAUUUGUUCCUCUUUUCAUUCCCAAGUCGAAUUAUCAAUGGUGCAUUGGCCUAGAAUUCACAGAAGGAAAAUCUUGGGCUAGUGCCUUUUGCUUGCAGCAAAGACAGAUUUUUAUCAGAAUAUUAAGUGGAACUUUCACUGGACUAGAUUUUUCUUUAAAGUCUUUUUCUUAGGUGCUGAGGCUUGACUUGAGUUUGCUGUGUACAGACUGAGCUAGGCUAUCUCUUGGUUUGGCUAGAGAUGUCUCUACAGAGCUCUGGCCUAGAAUAUGCCAUAUCAUAUCUCAAGACACAUUGGUAACUUUUAAGUUUUAAGCAUAUGUAUUAUAUUUAAUAAUAAAGUAAAAUACUUAGAGAGAAUUUAAUAUAAAUCUACGUUAGGCAAAUUCAACUUGGGUAUUUAAAAGAUCUCUGUGCUGUAAUUUUACUCAAUUAGAUUAUUAGUAUUUAAAAAAUCUGCCCUCAAGCAUAUGGUUAAGACUUUUUCUGUCUGUAUUGUAGUGUCCUAAAAUACCAACUUGCAGAAACUACUGGCUAAAUUUGGUCCAGUUCAGUGUGAGGUUUAAACACUUCGGAUGUCUUGCAGGGUCUUUCCACCCUUCUACAGCGGUUGAUGAGUAAUGAGGAAGAAAGCCAGGUCUGUUUCACCAGCAUUCAGCAGGGCAAGACCUCACAUAACAGUCUGUGUUACCAAGAUGUCUUAUUUACAUCCUUCUUAUUCUGGGUCUGUCCCAUCUGACUUUGAGGGGGGUUAGGAGAAAGUUGAAAAGGGGAUAGAUCUCCGAUGGGCCUUGCAGUUACUGCUCACUGCUGGAAAGGCUUACAUUUGGGGGAACUCCGCACUGAAGCUCAGGGAACUGAAGUUUCUGAAGGCCCUAAGAGGUGCAGCUCCAGGAGAGAGUGUUGCCUCUCUUGCUCUUUCCUGCUUGUAGGUUUGGGUUUGGUAUCAGUCCCUCUCCAGCUUGCAUUUAAGACUUACCAGCUCCAUCUUGGUCUGCUUUAGCAUUUCCUUGAAUCUCAGGACAGUUCUGUUUUUGUUUGUUUGUUUGUUUGUUUGCUUGCUUUUUUGUUUUUUUUGUUUUUGUUGUUGUUGUUGUUGUUAAACAGGCACAGGGGUGAAAGAACUAGAGGCCACCAGUUCAGGGAGGACAAGUGACUUGUGUCCCUUUUCAGUCAACUUUGAUGCUCAUGUGUGGUUCUCUUGGAUUUCUCAUAAGGUCUGAUGGAAGGAAUACCCCAUUUUCUCUUCCCCACCAGAGCUAUGAUAACCUUUCUCACUAUAGCUCUUUCUCAAAGGCUAAUAAUCUCAACAGCUUCUUUUGCUUCCUACUAUCUACAGUUAAUGAAGCAGGCCACCUAGGGUAGGAAGGCUCCAGUUGUCUGGCUGACUCCUGGUGUGAAGGCACUUGUUUGUGUUCCAGUCGGAGUCCCUUUAAGGUUUGAGGGAACUGAGCUGGUCCUUUUUCAAAGCUUUGAGCUCUUCUUGUUCAUUUGAGGAUUGCAGGUAAAUGAACAUUUACUCAAAUACGAGUGGAGUUUCACUUCAUGUUCAAGCUAGAAAGUAAUGAUUCAUUUCGAAUUAAAAAUAAAUAUUCUGCCAACAUAUCAUUAAUUUGAACUGGUAGGUCAAGUAGACCAAGUAAUUAUUCCCUUGUUUCUGCAUGGGCAUGGCAUUUUAAAGAAAGAGUAUUGCUCCUACCCUUUGUCAUUUGUGAAUUAUGUGAAUUUUAAAUUAGGGAAAGUUUUCAUUCAUACUUUAUAUAAAAUAUGAGCAGGGUAUAGUUCUUCUUUAUUUUAAUUUAAUUUUAUUUAUUUUUUGUUUCUCGAGACAGGGUUUCUCUGUAUAGCCCUGGCUGUCUGGAACUCACUUUGUAAACCAGGCUGGCCUUGAACUAAGAAAUCCUCCUGCCUGUGCCACCCGAGUGCUGGGACUUAAGGCGUGCGCCACCACGCCCGGCUAAAAUAUGACCAGGGCAUAGUUCUUAAGCAUCACAAAAUUACAAGACAAUAGAAACAAUAUAUUGCAGAUGUGUGAAUGGUCUAAAACAUCUUAUAUAAAUAGAUUUCAUGAAAUGAGCAUUUUAAAUGGAAUAGUUCACAAUUUGCUUUCAAUAACAGCUUCAAAAAUCAACAGUUAUAAUAUAAAAGCUAAAUACUGACUAUAUACUUAUUCAAAUCACAAAAUAAGAGGGAAUGUGUUAGUUGUAUUUUCUUGUAUUUCGCCUUUGCCUAUGUCAUUUUUAGUGCCUUGAAGAAAAACACAAGUAAUCUGAGAAAGAAAGUUAGGUGUGUACUUAUUAUGAGACUUAUGAAAGCAUAAUUGCAUGAGAAUAAUCUUGGUAGACUAUUAAAAGACAAUGGCGAACAAUUGGUGUCUAAAGAGGCUAAGACACUGGCUUGAGAAACAGAAAGUCAAGUUAAAGAUACAUUGCUUAGCGUGUGUUAGAAUAGAGUAGGAAACAGAACACACAAAACAGUGACGUAUCAGCUGGGUGCGGGUGUGUGGGGGAAGAGAUAGAACUGAAGUUAAAAUGCAUAAUUCUUCUGAGAGAUGGGUAUGGUGGUAUAUCCGGUUAAUCCAGACACUCUGGAGAUAGA
rnacentral:lncRNA from 1 species